rnacentral:tRNA from 1 species
UUUAAUAUGGCAGAAUAGUGCAAUGAGUUUAAACCUCAUCUAUAAAAUUCAUUUCAAAAUUUUUAUUAAAA